rnacentral:rRNA from 1 species
GGGGCCCGCACAAGCGGUGGAGCAUGUGGUUUAAUUCGAUGCAACGCGAAGAACCUUACCUGGUCUUGACAUCCACAGAACUUAGCAGAGAUGCUUUGGUGCCUUCGGGAACUGUGAGACAGGUGCUGCAUGGCUGUCGUCAGCUCGUGUUGUGAAAUGUUGGGUUAAGUCCCGCAACGAGCGCAACCCUUAUCCUUUGUUGCCAGCGGUCCGGCCGGGAACUCAAAGGAGACUGCCAGUGAUAAACUGGAGGAAGGUGGGG